GGGGUAUAGCUCAGUGGUAGAGCAUUCGAAUACUAAUCGAGAGGUCCCGAUUCAAACUAAGGUGCCUCCU